rnacentral:tRNA from 7 species
GGAGGAGUCGGAUAGCGGUUUAUUCCACACGCUUGGAAAGCGUGCGUCCUUAACCGGACUCGUGGGUUCGAAUCCCACCUCCUCCGCCU